rnacentral:lncRNA from 1 species
AUAAACAGAGGGGAAAAAAAUCCACUUCAAAUGAGCCCCACGGGUUAUGAAUUUAUGAUGUUUUUAAUACCCUGCAUUAAUUUACAUUAAGUACUGCUAUAGUUCAUUACAUUUUUCUUGCUCACAUUUCUGGGCACUAAUGAAUAAUAUAUGUAUAUUAUAGUUUUAUACAGUAUAUAUUCAGAGUUUUUAAUCAUGAUCAUCUUUUCUUAAAGUCAUUCAUCAUUUCUGUUACUCCCUUUUUAAAACUUAGUUUUGGAAAACAAAAAUGUAACUCAAACUGGGAGAACAAUAAAUAGUAUGUCACACAGAACAUACAAACACAAUGGGCAAAUCUGCUUAAGACCAAAAUGACUUCUGUUUACCACUGUGCAUCUAAUUCUGCACAACUUAAAAUACUCAAAACGAGCUGGAUAUUUAAAAGUCAAUGAGUUAUUCUGAACGGUUGCAUUGUUUCAAGCUCUGGCUACAGCCCAAUUUGUAAUGUUUCUAAAAUUAAUGAUAAAAAACACCAAUGUAAUUUUUUCACUAAACAAUUUCCAAUUGUAAAACCACAGCCCAAGAUACCCAUGAAGUUUAGUUAAUUUGUACAGAUACGCCGUUUUGCUGCCAACCUUUGUACCGUGACCAUUACCAGCCCAAGUUCAAGAUUCACAUUUUACGGUGUGAACAGAGUCAACUGAAUCUUAAGAAUUUUUAAAACUCUCAAACCCUGACUAUAUUUAGAUACAUUGGAUCUACACCACCAGAGCAUAACACCAAAUGAAAUUUUUAUUUAGCAUGUACAGCAAUCUAUGAAGUUGAGCGAAAAGGCCGACGACGUGAACGAGCUCAGAGUCGCGGUGGCGGCGACAGGGCGGCGGCGGCGACCGGGCUCCGGCUCGCUUCCUGCUCGGACAGAUCCCGGGUCCGUCUCCGCCCGCCGGCCGGCGCCCCGCCGAGUCCCCGGCCCCAGCGCGCGCACGUCACGGCUACGGAGCGCCCGAGGGGGCGGGGGCGCUGCGGGCCGGGGCGGGCCGACCGGGCGCGCGAGCGCACGAACGCGCGCUCCGAGAGGGGGCGCUGGGCGCCCGCGGCCGCCCCGCCCCUCCGCUCGCCCCCCGAGGGCAGCGCAAAGCCUCCAGGGCUGA